CCAACACCUUUUGUUACCUGGUGGAGGGCACAGCGUCAGAGCAACCCACUGAAUAAUGAUUCAGUCUUUUCUUUCUUGACAGAAUGGCUGUCUCCUCCCACACACCCUCCACACUCUGCCUCACCAUGGCAACGGCGGGAGGCUGAAACAUCCGUGCCCUUUCACCGACUGUCUGUUAUCGGCGAGUUCUGCCGGCACGCUGAGACCUCCGGUUCUCUGCUCCUCUGACUCCCCUUCACCACACGAUGAACGAUGAUGCAGGAAGACUGGGAUCAGUGGAUUAUCGUUGUUGGUGCAGAACUCCACCACCAGGGGGAAAAAAGGGAAACAGCCGAAGGGCAAAUCACUCAGGCCCAAAGAGCAUCAAAAGAAGAGAAAAACCGAAAAUUUGAAAACAAGUUCUGAACUCAGAGAUGCUUGUCACUCCCCUCUCCUCCCUCCUCCCCUCCCCUCCCCUCACCUUGCCUAUUGAUUAUUUGUCUCUUUUCCACUUAGCAAGCAUCACCAUUCUCCUGCAUAAACAUCAGAAAAACCCAGAGGGCUCAUCUCCAGGACAGAAUCAAUAACAGCAGGAGUCGUAUUCACAUUAUGAACAACAGGUCCUGCAUACUCAUCCUCCAGCCUGGACCGGGUCUGUUCAUCACUCAGUGUGCGCUGAAGAAAUAUACACUAACUGAAGGAAACAGCUGCGGAGUCACGGGACGUUUGCAUGUUUAACGACAUCCCAGAUCAGAGCAACGGAGCCAGCUUUUCUGGAAAUUGUAAAUUGACGUGAAGAAAACCAGCCUGGACUCAAAAGGUUUUUAUUUUUCAGUUUCCCAGCCUCGGGAACAAUCAGUCAUCAAUUUUCCUCUGAGGGUCAGAGGAGCAGCCGGAGCCAAACAACUCUUAUCAGACUAUCACGCAGACUAAUCGAAAUCUAAAAGUGCACUUAUGCAGACGGCCUGGAGCCGACGCUUCUGAAAAGGUCAGUAUUGUUGCCACUCUUGGACGAUGCUCAACAAUAAAAUAUAUGAGGAGUAAAAAAGUCAGGAUGAUUAAAGAGGUGGGUGAUUAGAAGCACGGAGCAGUUGACCUUGUAGAGAUGUUUCCACAGUCGCAGCUCACACCAGAACCAUCACGACAUCUCCUCCACUCAGAGGAUGUUCCUGAACAUCUCUUCUGCCCUCGUAAAAGUUUCAUCGAUCCUCCGCCGUCAGAAUGAUCCAGUGUUUCAAAACUCUGGACAAAUUAAUAAUUCUUUAAUUUUAAAAACGUCUUCACCUGCAGCAGGGACGGCCCCAGACGGAGGAUGUUCUCUGUCCUUCCGACCCCUGAAUAAUGACCGAAUUAAGGAGGACACGGGUUUGAAUUGUAAUCCAAAUGGUUGAAGAUGCUCUUUCUGAAAGCACAGACCAUAAAU